rnacentral:rRNA from 1 species
GAUCCUGGCUCAGGAUGAACGCUGACAGAAUGCUUAACACAUGCAAGUCUACUUGAACUUCGGUUUGGGUGGCGGACGGGUGAGUAACGCGUAAAGAACUUGCCUCACAGUUAGGGACAACAUUUGGAAACGAAUGCUAAUACCUGAUACUAUGAUUUUUAGGGCAUCCUAAGAUUAUGAAAGCUAUAUGCGCUGUGAGAGAGCUUUGCGUCCCAUUAGCUAGUUGGAGAGGUAACGG